rnacentral:rRNA from 1 species
CGAAAGCCUGACGGAGCAACGCCGCGUGAGUGAUGAAGGUCUUCGGAUCGUAAAACUCUGUUAUUAGGGAAGAACAAAUGUGUAAGUAACUGUGCACGUCUUGACGGUACCUAAUCAGAAAGCCACGGCUAACUACGUGCCAGCAGCCGCGGUAAUACGUAGGUGGCAAGCGUUAUCCGGAAUUAUUGGGCGUAAAGCGCGCGUAGGCGGUUUCUUAAGUCUGAUGUGAAAGCCCACGGCUCAACCGUGGAGGGUCAUUGGAAACUGGGAAACUUGAGUGCAGAAGAGGAAAGUGGAAUUCCAUGUGUAGCGGUGAAAUGCGCAGAGAUAUGGAGGAACACCAGUGGCGAAGGCGACUUUCUGGUCUGUAACUGACGCUGAUGUGCGAAAGCGUGGGGAUCAAACAGGAUUAGAUACCCUGGUAGUCCACGCCGUAAACGAUGAGUGCUAAGUGUUAGGGGGGUUUCCGCCCCUUAGUGCUGCAGCUAACGCAUUAAGCACUCCGCCUGGGGAGUACGACCGCAAGGUUGAAACUCAAGGAAUUGACGGGGACCCGCACAAGCGGUGGAGCAUGUGGUUUAAUUCGAAGCAACGCGAGAACCUUACCAAAUCUUGACAUCCUUUGACACUCUAGAGAUAGAGCCUUUCC